AUGAACGCUAGCUACAGGCUUAACACAUGCAAGUCGAGGGGCAGCAUGGUCUUAGCUUGCUAAGGCCGAUGGCGACCGGCGCACGGGUGAGUAACACGUAUCCAACCUGCCGUCUACUCUUGGACAGCCUUCUGAAAGGAAGAUUAAUACAAGAUGGCAUCAUGAGUCCGCGUGUUCACAUGAUUAAAGGUAUUCCGGUAGACGAUGGGGAUGCGUUCCAUUAGAUAGUAGGCGGGGUAACGGCCCACCUAGUCUUCGAUGGAUAGGGGUUCUGAGAGGAAGGUCCCCCACAUUGGAACUGAGACACGGUCCAAACUCCUACGGGAGGCAGCAGUGAGGAAUAUUGGUCAAUGGGCGAGAGCCUGAACCAGCCAAGUAGCGUGAAGGAUGACUGCCCUAUGGGUUGUAAACUUCUUUUAUAAAGGAAUAAAGUCGGGUAUGCAUACCCGUUUGCAUGUACUUUAUGAAUAAGGAUCGGCUAACUCCGUGCCAGCAGCCGCGGUAAUACGGAGGAUCCGAGCGUUAUCCGGAUUUAUUGGGUUUAAAGGGAGCGUAGAUGGAUGUUUAAGUCAGUUGUGAAAGUUUGCGGCUCAACCGUAAAAUUGCAGUUGAUACUGGAUAUCUUGAGUGCAGUUGAGGCAGGCGGAAUUCGUGGUGUAGCGGUGAAAUGCUUAGAUAUCACGAAGAACUCCGAUUGCGAAGGCAGCCUGCUAAGCUGCAACUGACAUUGAGGCUCGAAAGUGUGGGUAUCAAACAGGAUUAGAUACCCUGGUAGUCCACACGGUAAACGAUGAAUACUCGCUGUUUGCGAUAUACGGCAAGCGGCCAAGCGAAAGCGUUAAGUAUUCCACCUGGGGAGUACGCCGGCAACGGUGAAACUCAAAGGAAUUGACGGGGGCCCGCACAAGCGGAGGAACAUGUGGUUUAAUUCGAUGAUACGCGAGGAACCUUACCCGGGCUUAAAUUGCAGAUGAAUUACGGUGAAAGCCGUAAGCCGCAAGGCAUCUGUGAAGGUGCUGCAUGGUUGUCGUCAGCUCGUGCCGUGAGGUGUCGGCUUAAGUGCCAUAACGAGCGCAACCCUUGUUGUCAGUUACUAACAGGUCAUGCUGAGGACUCUGACAAGACUGCCAUCGUAAGAUGUGAGGAAGGUGGGGAUGACGUCAAAUCAGCACGGCCCUUACGUCCGGGGCUACACACGUGUUACAAUGGGGGGUACAGAGGGCCGCUACCACGCGAGUGGAUGCCAAUCCCCAAAACCUCUCUCAGUUCGGACUGGAGUCUGCAACCCGACUCCACGAAGCUGGAUUCGCUAGUAAUCGCGCAUCAGCCACGGCGCGGUGAAUACGUUCCCGGGCCUUGUACACACCGCCCGUCAAGCCAUGGGAGCCGGGGGUACCUGAAGUGCGUAACCGCGAGGAGCGCCCUAGGGUAAAACUGGUGACUGGGGCU
rnacentral:rRNA from 1 species